rnacentral:hammerhead_ribozyme from 1 species
GCACUGCUGAGGAGUCCCACAAUAGGACGAAACGAUCGUGCAAUGC